GAUGAAGAACGGAGCGAAAUGCGAUAAGUAAUGUGAAUUGCAGAAUUCAGUGAAUCAUCGAAUCUUUGAACGCACCUUGCGCCCUUUGGCUAUUCCGAAGGGCAUGCCUGUUUGAGUAUCGUGAACACCUCAACUCUCAUGGUUUGCCAUGAUGAGCUUGGACUUUGGGGGUUUUGCUGGCCUUUGGUCGGCUCCUCUCAAACGGAUCAGCUUUCCAGUGUUUGGUGGCGUCACGGGUGUGAUAACUAUCUACGCCUGUGGUUUUCUGCCAGAUAACCCUCAGCGAUGGAGGUUCGCUGGGGCUCAUAAAUGUCUCUCUUCAGUGGAGACAGCUUUUUGGACGUUUGAUCUCAAAUCAGGUAGGACUACCCGCUGAACUUAAGCAUAUCAAUAAGCGGAGGA
rnacentral:misc_RNA from 1 species